CAGGUUUAACACGCACCCCCCCUCUCUCUCUGCGCAGGUUGUCUUCUCAAUUGUGAGCGACAAAAGUAGCAUAAUAAGACUCACUUUCUUUUUACUAACCAAUACUACCAUUCUUGCUCCCUUUUUUCCACAAUUCUCCUGCAGAUUCAGUUAAGCAUUUUUACACACACAUAAUCUGCAAUUUUACAGUCUCCGGUUGGAUCGCCGGUUUCCGGUAUGGAAACAAUCGGCCGGAACCCACUUUGUUUUUCAUCUAAAAUUCUUUACACACAAUUAUAGUUAGAUAAUUGAUAAACAAACCCAAUAUAUAUAUAUUUUUUUUGGUUGAAAUGGCUGACAUCAAUGUUAACUCAGUGUUGACUUCGGGGGAAGAUAUGGCGGAGAAAGCAUUGAGCAAGCGAUAUGAAGGGUUAGUUGCUGUCCGUACAAAAGCUAUAAAAGGUAAAGGAGCUUGGUACUGGGCUCAUCUGGAGCCUGUUUUGAUUCAAAAUCCGGAAACGAAUCAUCCAAAAGCAGUGAAACUUAAGUGCACUUUGUGUGAUGCUGCGUUUUCGGCUUCAAAUCCGUCACGGACUGCUACAGAGCAUCUUAAAAGAGGUACUUGUCCCAAUUUUGGGAGGCCCAUUUCACAAUUACCCCCUUUAGCUUCACCUACUUCGCAGAAUAAUCAUCGCAAGAGAAGUUCACCACAAACUGGUACAUGUUCAUAUUCGCAACAAUUUGGAGUGGUGAACACUUCGCCGCGAUUCUGCGGCGAAAUGGGCUAUUCACCACUCCAAACAGCUCAAGCAAUUGUUACACAUACGGGCUUGAAUCAACAACAUUUGAUGUUGUCGGGUGGGAAAGAGGAUUUGGAUGCUUUAGCUAUGUUGGAAGAUAGUGUAAAGAGGCUUAAAAGUUUGAAAAGUUCACCUGGUCCAGCUUUGAAUAAGGACCAGGUUGAUUCAGCUUUCAAUUUGCUGGCUGAUUGGUUUUAUGAGUCUUGUGGGACUGUGACACUUUCGAGUCUCGAGCAUCCAAAAUUCAAGGCUUUCCUUAGCCAAGUAGGCUUGCCUCAGGUGUCAAGAAAGGAUUUUGUAGGAGAAAAACUUGAUUCUAAGUUUGAUGAAGCAAGAGUGGAGUCGGAAGCUAGGAUUCGCGAUGCAGCAUUUUUUCAAGUUUCUUCAGAUGGAUGGGGGAGGGAUAUUUGUAAGUAUGGGGAAGAUACUGUGAUUAAAUUUAUCAUAAAUCUUCCUAACGGUACUAAUGUAUUUCAUAAGGCAGUGUAUAAGGGCGGAUUGGUGCCAUCGGAGUAUGCAGAGGAAGUUUUACGGGAAACUAUUAAAGGGUUGUGUGGUAAUGUUGUUCAAAGAUGUGUGGGAAUAGUUGGAGACAAGUAUAAAAGUAAGGCAUUGAGGAAUUUGGAGUUACAAAAUCAUUGGAUGGUGAAUCUUUCAUGCCAACUUCAUGGAUUUAUUAGUUUGUUGAAGGACUUUGGUAGAGAGCUUCCACUUUUUAAAAUUGUUACUGAUAAUUGCUUAAAAAUUGCAAAUCUUUUCAAUAGCAAGUCCCAAAUCAGAAAUCAUUUUAGGAAAUUCAGGUCGCACGGUGUUGAGCUUGCAGGGUUGAUUAGAGUUCCUUCAGCUGACUGCAAUCUGUCUAAGAACUAUGGUCCUGUUAUUGCAAUGUUGGAGGAUAUACUAAGUUAUGCUCGAAUACUGCAGUUAAUAGUGCUGGAUGAUUCCUAUAAGGUCUCAUGCAUAGAGGAUCCUGUUGCUAAAGAAGUUGCUGAAAUGAUACAGGAUGUUGGGUUUUGGAAUGAUGUGGAGGCUGUUCAUUCACUAGUGAAGCUGAUCAAGGAGAUGACUGAUGAUAUUGAGGUCCAGAGACCCUUAGUUGGUCAGUGUCUUCUUCUUUGGGAGGAGUUGAGAGCUAAAGUAAAGGACUGGUGUGCCAAAUUUAGCAUUGCUGAGGGACCUAUUGAGAAGAUAAUCGAUACACGGUUCAAGAAAAACUAUCACCCUGCAUGGUCAGCUGCAUUUGUACUUGAUCCAUUAUACUUAGUGAGGGAUGCAAGUGGGAAGUAUCUUCCACCAUUUAAACGUCUCACACAUGAUCAAGAGAAGGACAUAGACAAGCUAAUAACACGGCUAGUACCACGGGAGGAAGCUCCCACUGCACUAAUGGAGCUUAUGAAAUGGAGAUCAGAAGGGCUCGACCCACUGUACGCUCAGGCUGUUCAAGUAAAGCAGCGAGAUCCUGUAACAGGACGAAUGAAAAUUGCAAAUCCUCAGAGUAGCAGGCUUGUAUGGGAAACUUGCCUGAAAGAGUUCAAGUCGCUGGGGAAGGUUGCUGUUAGGCUUCUCUUCCUUCAGGCAACCUCAUGUGGAUUCAAAUGUAAUUGGUCCUUUAUGAGAUGGGUUUCUCUGCAAGGGCAAUCGAGGGUUGGCAUGGAUAGAGCUCAAAGGAUGAUCUUCAUUGCAGCUCACGCAAAACUUGAGAAACGGGAUUUUUCCAGUGAUGAGGAGAAGGAUGCUGAGAUGCUUACUACAGCAAAUGUUCGACCAAGUGGAAAUGGGAAGCUACUUGAAGAUGCGAGUGAUAUGAAGUACUAAUUUCCAUUGGUAAGAAAUUUAAAUGUUGGAAGACAUGUGUGGAAUAGUUGUCUGAAUUUGUUGUCCUUUUCUCUAGUCAAGUUUCUCUUCAUUAAUUGUUGCAUGAAAAAUCGGGUAAGCAUUUAUGAGAUCAGUCAACCUAAGAACAGUCCGGAAGCAGAUCCUUGUAGCCAGAAGAAUGACUCCAGAGCAUCUGCUUUUAGAGUCCCACAGACGUUGCAUCAAGAGGAAGGUUAGAGGGAAAGUUAUUUGUUUCUUUCGAUUUUCUAAAGUAUUUAAUUGUUUAUUUUAUUCCCAUCAGCCAAGACUGUUUAAAAAGCUUUAGGCUAACUAUUUCUUUAAGUAUCAUGACCAUCUAUCUACUCUCAUACAAGGUGGUACUUUGUUGAAAAUUUUACACCAGAUUCUUAAUUUGAAAGUUAAAAGUUUUUUCUUAGUGCUUGGUUAUUUCACCUGAUUGGAAAAAGCUACUUUGAGCAAACUGUAAGCAAGGGGCUGUCGGCAUUAUGGAUUGCAUAUUAUAGCUGAAAAGAUUUUUCAACGAAUUUCAACUGUCUUCUGGCUCUACUUUGCUGCCUAUAACAUUGACUACUAAUAUAAUUUGGUAUGUAUGGAGGCAUGAUGUUUUUUUUUUUCAUGUUGUCAUUCACGUGCACCAUUCAUAAUUACACUUCAGAUAAUAGGACUUCACUAAGUUUUGGUUCAAGUAUUCGUCUUAAACUGGUAACUGUUAUAACUGCUUAUAGAUUUCUAAGGAAUACCUAUAAUUUAUGACUUGCAUGCUGAUGUACUUGCUCCAUAGCUGACUUAACAAAUUCUGGUCUUGGAAACCUCUAUGAAAUGAUUGUUAAUAUAUAACUACGCUGAAAUUGGAUACAUUAACCAUCAUUUGAUUCCUUUUCUUGUGGCUGAAUUCUUGACAAUCUUAACAUGACAUAGUACCCUACAGGUAAAAAUUUCCAAUCUACGGGACAUGUUUAUGAUUAUUCUUUAACAUCUUAGUGUGCAAUAGUACAGGAGAUGGUGAAAAAGUGGUGAGAUGAAACAUACAGAAGGUAGGGCACUGCUGCAUAUGGGUUGUAUGAUUUAUUUGGACAAAAAAAUUGUACAGCAUACACGAAAAAGAGAGGCGGGAAGGGCCAAAAAGAGGAAACGAAAUUAAAAAGCCGAUUUUUCUGGAGGAUGAUAUUGUUACUGCUAGUUCACUUG